UUUAAACGUAAAAUUUAUUACUAAAGUAGUAUUAGUUAUGUUCUUGAAAUUUAAAUAUUUUGGCGGUAUUUUAGUCUAUUUAGAGGAACCUGUUCUAUAAUUGAUAGUCCACGAUUUACUUUACUUAAUUUAUAAGUUUGUAUAUCAUCGUUAUUAGAGAAUUUUAUUAGAAUAUAAAUUUUUAAUAUUUUAAAUUAAAAAAUAUAUCAGAUCAAGAUGCAGUUUAUAUUUAAGAAGAAAUGGGUUACAAUAAAUUUAUUUAAUAUGGAUUAAGGUAAUAAAUUCUUUAUGAAAGUGGAUUUAAUAGUAAUAAAAUUAAUUUAAAUUUUAUGAUUUUAGCUCUAAAAUAUGU
rnacentral:rRNA from 1 species